CCGCGCCUCGCCCAGGACAGGUACACUUAGAGGCCUUUUGUGUCCAGCUGGGCAGAAGUGCUGCACCACAGGCUGUGGUCGGAUCUGCUGAGACAUUCCUAAGGGUAUGUUGGCAUGAGGGGCAAAAUCUGGGCAUACUCUCUGACAUUGCCUCUGGGAUAGAUGGAAGUAGAGAGCUUCCCACCUUCUAGGUUGCCUCUUGAAGUCUCCCUUGCCUAGAGUACUUCUUUACUCUUUUAGGGUCCCUCCUCCUUUAAUUAUUCAGUGCCUCCAGUUGUUUGCCUUCCAUCAGGAAAGAACACACCAUCGAUUAUCUAUGUCUUUUACUUUGGACUCAAAGUUCCUGUGAAGGCUGGAGAGAAGAGUUGUAAAGGGAAGCGUGUGUAAGAUAAUGAUUAAGAGAGUAGACCCUAGAGCCAAGCAGAACUUUUUAAGCCUUAAGCCUUAGCUCUUUAUAAAUCUUAAGCUUUUAGCCUCAGUUUCCUCAUCUAUAAAAUGGGGAUAAUUGUGAGGAUCAAAUGAUAUGUUCAUGGCCCAAGGUAAACAUCAGUAAAUGUUACAGUAAAUAUUUGCUAUUACUAUUGUUGUUAUUAUUGUCUCUUUUUCUUAGCACCAGGGUUGAGAGGCUUAAAUGAAUCUCAGGGCUUCCUUUUUCUGUUUUUUCCUUCUGCUGUGCCCGUGGGUGUUACCAGGCACUAUUUUCUCUCUCUCUCUUUUUUUUUGAGACGGAGUUUCGCUCUUGUUGCUCAGACUGGAGUGCAGUGGCGUGAUCUCGGCUCACCGCAACCUCCGCCUCCCAGGUUCAAGUGAUUCUCC
rnacentral:sRNA from 1 species